UACGUAGGGUGCGAGCGUUGUCCGGAAUUACUGGGCGUAAAGAGCUCGUAGGUGGUUUGUCGCGUUGUUCGUGAAAACUCACAGCUUAACUGUGGGCGUGCGGGCGAUACGGGCAGACUGGAGUACUGCAGGGGAGACUGGAAUUCCUGGUGUAGCGGUGGAAUGCGCAGAUAUCAGGAGGAACACCGGUGGCGAAGGCGGGUCUCUGGGCAGUAACCGACGCUGAGGUGCGAAAGCGUGGGGAGCAAACAGG
rnacentral:rRNA from 1 species